AAAACUCUGAAGUUCAAUCAAAAGCCACUCACUCACGUGACUCAACAUCCCUAACCUAUCUUCCAUGUCUCUCUCACGCCCACAGUCCCACGGCGCGGCCUCUCUAAUUUUCUCACCAAAUCAUCGAUAUUGCCCAACGUCGAUAGCCGAUUUUCCAUGGUCAAGGGUCGUUGGUUAUAUGGAGACCGAAGACCCAGAAGAAUUUUUAGAAAGAGAAAGAAAUAAUUUCGGAGGAAGAGAGGAAUUUAGAGAAAGAAUGAUUUAGAUUUGAAUUGUGGUGACCGAAGACCCAGAAAAACAGGCGCCCAAUAGUCGUCUCCAAGUUUUUUUUUCAUCGUUUUGGGCAAGUCUUGGAGGGGUUUUUGGUAGUCCGAAUAACGAUCAAGAAGAAAAAGAAGAAGAUUUAGAAAUGGCUUCAAAAGCUGUUGUUAAAGAACAACCCAGAGGCGACAAUAGUUGAGUAAUACACUUAAAUCUGGAGGCGGCUAAAUUAUUGGACAUGGGAUGGAUGAUUGUUGUGAUGUGGUCGAGACUGAAAAUCUGACUGUUAUCGGUAUGUUUUGUGUUAGAGAUUCCAUUUAUUGGCUUUCUUCUUGUUACACUUUUUUAACCAGAUUUUGUAGAUAUAGAAUUUAAAUUUCAGUAACAUGAUAUAUAUAAAUUUACUCAACAUUCUGUAACUUCGCUUUUUCCACAGUGGUUUUUCCACAUUUUUUGUUUUACAUGGUGUUAACUAGAAGGAGAGUUGAAACAGGGUGAAGUAGGGGAAGUGUGGUAAGAGUUGAGAAGGGGAGGAAAUGGCUGAGAUUGCUACUAUCUGAAGUAGGGAGGUCAAAGUCACUAGACGGAGUUUCUACUGGGCAGCAGCGAUAGUGCCAACCUGGGGAAGCAUUGGCGGAAUGGAGGUCUUCUUGGCAUUAGUCAAGUGUUAUCUCAGCAUGAUAUUAGUCACGUGUUAUCUCUGUAUUUUUGUCUUACACUUACGCCUUGAGGCAUUCAUCACAUGAGAAAUCAAGAUGCUGGAUUGAGGAGGAAAAUCUGCAGACAGAUACAGGGAUUGAUACAUAAAAACUGUCAACAAGCCUGAAGUGAUUGACAUUAUAUUGCCCUUAUUUAUUGAAAGUCUAGAAGAGGGUGAUGCUUUAACUCUUGUUAUUUAUUGACCUUUUUACUUGUGUAAGAAAGAAAAACAUGCCUAUAUUUUUCUUUGCUUUUAGAAUUUUAGAUCUGGAUUUUGUACGGAUAUUGUUACAUUUUUUAGUUCAAUUAAUAAUUACUAUUGGAGUUAUUUGA